AAAAUGGCCUUUGUAUACACAGCCUGAUGUGAGCAAGAAGUAGGCCGAGCAGACUCAUUUUCAGAUGCAGACAAAGAAGGGACCGGGAGAAAAAGAACCCAUCUUAGGAUGGAGACUGAAGACGGAAGCCACACACAGAUGAAUCUGGUCACAAGAAAUGAGACAAGUUUGGGACCAUUAAGAAUAAAGCUAUGCA